rnacentral:rRNA from 1 species
GAACGCUGGCGGCGUGCCUAACACAUGCAAGUCGAGCGAGGAGAUCCUUCGGGAUGAUCCUAGCGGCGGACGGGUGAGUAACACGUGGGCAACCUGCCUCAUAGAGAGGAAUAGCCUUCCGAAAGGAGAUUAAUACCUCAUAACAUUGCAGUUUCGCAUGGAACAGCAAUUAAAGGAGUAAUCCGCUAUGAGAUGGGCCCGCGGCGCAUUAGCUAGUUGGUGAGGUAACGGCUCACCAAGGCGACGAUGCGUAGCCGACCUGAGAGGGUGAUCGGCCACAUUGGGACUGAGACACGGCCCAGACUCCUACGGGAGGCAGCAGUGGGGAAUAUUGCACAAUGGGGGAAACCCUGAUGCAAGCAACGCCGCGUGAGUGAUGACGGCCUUCGGGUUGUAAAGCUCUGUCUUCAGGGACGAUAAUGACGGUACCUGAGGAGGAAGCCACGGCUAACUACGUGCCAGCCGCUGC